GUUCUCAGUCUGGACCUGUUCUACAACUUAAUGUGACCAACCAUAUGCCCAAGGUACUUCCCUCUGCGGCUGUAGAGUGACAGGAAUCCAGAGGCACCAGCUCCUUCUAUGGUCAGGUAGGAUCAAGAAGCUAUCAGGAACCAGUGCCUCUCAAUCAUUCACUUCUACCCAGUUCUGUCACUGGGCUCCAGUCUCUAUUCAUUUCACUAUCUAUGUGGCUACCUCUAAUAAUAACUCACAAUUAUAUACCACUUAACUAAGCAAGGUGGAAGUAGUAGUGGAGAAGGAGGAAUAAGUAAACUUGAACAUGUAAUGACUUAAAUACAUUAAAAUGGCAAUAAAAAAGUUUCCAAGGAAAGUCUCAAAAGGACCAGGAACCCCUCUCAUGUGGAUUACAUUAUCCCACCUUCUAUCUCAGGGUAUUUCAGGAGAAGCAGGAGUCCAUAUCUCAGGGUGGUGCUGGUUGUCUCUGUUCCUCUCACACUCUACCUGCUCCAUUUUCAUCAGGAAACAAUCAAUGAAGUCCCGAGGAUUGCUGGGAUCCAGUGUUCUUUGGUGUUCCUUCACUUCUUCCAAAAUAAAUUCAAGUAUUGAUUGCAAUUUUUAACUGCUUUGUGAUGAGAUCCAGGGAGAUAACGUACUAGAGAUGGAAAAGAAUUGUAGACCUAAAAAGAAGAAUUUUAUAUCAUAGUCUAUUAGAAAAAGAAAAUAAUUUUCAACUCUAACACUUGGAUCAUGUUGAGAAUACGGCUGAGUAAGGGUGGGACAAGUGCCCUUUGGAAAAUAGUGACUUUUCUCAUCAUUUCCUACACAACCCUCUAAAAAAUUAGCUUUCUGUUCCUUGGUUGCCUGAAACUACCUUGGCUUUCACUCUCAAUUCUUACUUCCUACAGAAAAGUUCUCAUCCUUUCUCAUUUUGAGGUCUUCUAAGAGCUCAGCCUCCACCUUCCAUUGGGACAGCUAACUCAUCUGCUAACCUGAUCCAAACUCGGGUGCACAAGGGAAAAGUCAGCUUGUCUCUAGUAAUGUGAAUUUUAACACUCAGUCCCUGUGACCAGUGGGUGAACUACUCCAGGGAAGGGCCUUAUAAUGUCUGUCAAAUCAGACCACAUAGGGUGCCCUUUUCUGUUUUUAGUCCUUGUCAAUGAAGAAGAAAAUAGGAACCCGUUCCAACAUGGCACUAUUGUACCUCCCAAUGGAAUGAAUGAUGAACUCUAGCCUAACUGCUUCUGGUAGUUUCUUUGAAGUAAUUAAAAAACGAUUCUGAGCUCCAAACAGAGAGAACACUGGUCUCACCUUCAUCCAUGGGAACUUGAUCUUGAUGUUUUCAUUCAAAAGCUUCAUUAAAUAUAGAAAUUUCUGGUCUUUAUAUUCAAAACAUUUCUGGAAAAUGAUAGAGCAGAUUACAUUGCAAGGAGCAAACUCAAGGAUGAAUGUGGGGUCACAUGGUAAUCCUAAAGGAGAAAGAGAGAAAGAAAGACUUUAAUACUAUUAUUGCAAUCAAAAGGUAGAUUUACCUGCCUUUAGGUAGGACCUGACUGUCCUCCUUUCCCUUCUAGUUUACAUUCUAGCUUGGCACAGCAAGGUUCAAAAUAAACCACCCUUUAUGAAGCA
rnacentral:lncRNA from 1 species